rnacentral:rRNA from 1 species
AACGAACGCUGGCGGCAUGCCUAACACAUGCAAGUCGAACGGGAUCCUGGCUUCGGCCAGGUGAGAGUGGCGGACGGGUGAGUAACGCGUGGGAACCUGCCCAUUGGUCUGGGAUAACUGCGGGAAACUGCAGCUAAUACCGGAUGUACCCGAGAGGGGAAAGAUUUAUCGCCGAUGGAGGGGCCCGCGUCAGAUUAGGUAGUUGGUGAGGUAACGGCUCACCAAGCCUACGAUCUGUAGCUGGUCUGAGAGGAUGAUCAGCCACACUGGGACUGAGAUACGGCCCAGACUCCUACGGGAGGCAGCAGUGGGGAAUAUUGGACAAUGGGGCGAACCCUACGAUCCAGCAAUAGCCGCCGUGAGUGAUGAAGG